rnacentral:rRNA from 1 species
GACGAACGCUGGCGGCGUGCUUAACACAUGCAAGUCGAGCGGAGCGGCGAACGGGUGAGUAAAGCGUGAGUAACUGCCCCCCUCUCUGGGAUAACAGUUGGAAACGGCUGCUAAUACCGGAUAGCGGGGGAUGACUCGCGUCCGAUCGGCUUGUUGGGGGGGUAGUGGACUACCAAGGCGACGACGGGUAGCCGGCCUGAGAGGGCGACCGUCCACAUUGGGCUGAGAUACUGCCCAAGCUCCUACGGGGGGCAGCAGGGGGGAAUAUUGCACAAUCGUGGAAACCCUGAUGCAGCAACGCGCGUGCGGGAUGACGGCCUUCGGGUUGUAAACCGCUUUCAGCCAUGACUCGGUAGUGGCAGAAGAAGCACCGGCUAACUACGUGCCAGCAGCCGCGGUAAUUC